UUCUGUUUGUGAUAAGUAGAAGGGGACUUCUACUUGAAUACGUCGGUCGAAGGUUACUCAUUCGCCGCGUUGUACUACAAUUAUUUCAAACCGGCCACCUUACGUGCUCGUCCUUAGUGGCGGAUUGAGCAUUGAGGUGCUAUUUGAUUUCAAUAAUAUAGGGUUUUUUCCCCUUUCUAAAUUUUUGAUGUUAAUUGAAUAUAAUGAUAAAUAACAAAUUUAAUUCUGCAAUUAUGAAAUUGUGUAUAUUUGCCUAAGCGAAAUAUUUUCGCCUCAAUUUUUGUGCCGAAAUCAAGAUAAAAGUGUUGGAAAAUUAAAUUUGAAAACAGAGCCAACGCCUUGGGUUUAUGACGGAAAAUGAAAUUAAAUACCAGCAACUAAGCACCACCACACCCAGCGCAAUCAAACCCCAACGUAUUUUGGUGGCCUCAAUUGGCAACAGCUACCAUUACCGCCAGCAGUUUUGCAAGCGCCUCAACAUCGGACGAAGUGUUGCUGCUCGAUGACAAUAUCAUCGUAAGUCAAGCGUACUAUGCCAAUUCGCUACUCUUUGCUUUUGACUCAUCUCUGUUGAGAGACUUGCAUUGCUACAGAGAGAAGCAUUCAAGCAGAAUGUGUCACUGACACUGAAUAUCUCGACGGAGAAUCUGACGGAACUUCUAAAUACUGCACAGUUCAAUCAGAUCUUGGAAUUGCUACAGCAGCAGCUCCCGCUGUCCUCCUUGAUUAUGCUCACAGUGCUCUAUGUCAUCAUCUUCGUGCUGACCGUAUCGGAUUUGAUGUUGCUACUGUCAGGUGAAUUGCAUUUGUUACACAGACUUUUAAGUAAGGUUCCAAAAAUAUGCAUAUGAAAAUUUAGUAAAUAAUUCGAAAACAAAACAACGAACUAACACUAAAGCCCGAUUCUUUCAUUUUUCUUUUCAAUGACAGAUGGAAGAAAAUAUAGUUAUGUCUGAGAAGCGAUGAGUCACGAUUGUAAAAUAUUAUGUUUUUGAAUAAUUGAAAUUAUUGCUCAUGAGAUCAGAAACAUAACGAAAUAUUGUUCUUAAUAUGAGUGCCAUUGUAUAUUUCUCUAUAAAACUAUCUUGCUUUUUUUUUGUUUUCUGUGCUUUUAUUCAGGCACGCCGCAAGGUGGUCCUGUCUUCCUUACUCUUGAUUUUAGUGGUAUUGAAACCACUCGGGAGUCGAGACUGUCGGAUUAUAUCCUAUGUAUAUGAUGUUGUUCUUAUGGUUAAAAGAAAGGGAGUUAGCCGUCAUAAACAAAUAAAGCAGAUCUGGAUUUAUUUACCAUCAUUAGGAGCUAGAGGCUUCACUCUCUCGAAAAGAUGAAGUAUUUGGGCAAAAUCCUGAAACCAUACGCCUUAUAGGUCAGUGAGCUCUCUCUUGGAUGACCUACAGCUCAAGAGGAUGGUUAGAGGGGCAGUCUUAUAUCGGGAGUUCUCAAUCAACUCUCAGACUGUCAGAGUAGUGUAGCGUCUUAAAGCAGAAGUAGCAGCCAUAAAGAUAGCAGCAGAUGUACGAGUUCUACGAAGAGCGUUUUCUUUUAGAAAGAUGCACCACAUCUGUAUAUAUCUUCCUAUUUAACGGUCCAAUUAGCAUACUUGACAGUGUUUAAGCGGAGAUAGCCACCAAUGUAACCGUGCUGACAACAACGGCAUUUACCGUUGAACGCUACGUAGCGAUAUGCCAUUCAUUUCGAGGAGUAAAAGCUGGCGGGUAUUGAUUAACGGUUUCAUUACGCUUUCAAUUUCUGCUGACUUUUGUUAAUCAAGACAGUGUCCUCACAACAAUCAACAGCAGCGGUGGAAUGGACGGAGGCAUUCGUGAUUCAUUACAUAGUACAGAGUAUUCCUCUGCGGCUCGCAAUCCAUGCUGACAACAACCCUCACCAAAUGGAAUGAAAUAGUCGCAAAUCAAGUUAUUGGUAUGUCUGUUGUAACUGCAACCAAACAACAACAACAACCACACAGAUCACAUACUGCAAUCUCAACUGUCCCAACGGUCCAGAGCGGCGCAUAGUAAUAUCGUCUCGGUUAUCUGUAGUCUUCAGCCAUAAAUUGCAACCGAAUGUUUUAACAAUGAAACGAUUACCUUCUCACCACCAGCACCAACCAUACAACCGGUGAAGUAUAUUGUGAAAUUGGACGUGCAUGGACCGAACUUUCACGAAUAAUUAGUUGACGUAUAGAAAAGUUUGGACAGGACUUGUGAAAGCCUCUCUGCUUCCAAUUUGAAUGCGUAAACCAUGGUGCGGAGAACCAUAUAACUUCGAUGUCAGUUUCGCUAAAUAACGUGGAUCCACCAGCGUGCGGAAUCUGGAUUUGGAUGCAAAGUGCUGCAAAUAAAAAUGGAUAUCAUCGGAAAAUUGAAUAUGAAAGUUUAAGAAACUAAAAUGUGUUAUAAAAGA
rnacentral:lncRNA from 1 species